rnacentral:rRNA from 1 species
AGCAGUCGCCACGGUAAUACGUAGGGUGCGAGCGUUAAUCGGAAUUACUGGGCGUAAAGCGUGCGCAGGCGGUUAUGUAAGACAGUUGUGAAAUCCCCGGGCUCAACCUGGGAACUGCAUCUGUGACUGCAUAGCUAGAGUACGGUAGAGGGGGAUGGAAUUCCGCGUGUAGCAGUGAAAUGCGUAGAUAUGCGGAGGAACACCGAUGGCGAAGGCAAUCCCCUGGACCUGUACUGGCGCUCAUGCACGAAAGCGUGGGGAGCAAACAGGAUUAGAUACCCCCGUAGUCCCUGUCUCUUAUAC